CCCCUAGAUGUUCUGGGCCGCACGCGCGCUACACUGAACAGUUCAACAAGUCUUAACCUUGGCCGAUAGGUCUGGGUAAUCUUUGAACGCUGUUCGUGAUUGGGAUAGACCUUUGCAAUUAUGGGUCUUCAACGAGGAAUUCCUAGUAAACGCAAGUCAUCAGAUUGCAUUGAUUACGUCCCUGCCCUUUGUACACACCGCCCGUCGCACCUACCGAUUGAAUGGUCCGGUGAAAUCUCGGGACGGCGGCUUGGUCGCUUGCGUCCGACUGCUGAAACUUGAUUAAACCAUAUCAUUUAGAGGAAGGUGAAGUCGUANCA
rnacentral:rRNA from 1 species